CCGUGAAGCUUCCGGAGAAGCCGUCGAUAUGCACAGCCGACAAGCUCCACUACGUCUCCGUGCCCAACUCCUAUUGGAGGCUCGUCCUCUGAUACCGCCUUUGCCCCACGGCCCCUCAGAGGAAUCACCCAUUGCUGCUAUUGUCUGGGUAUAGGCUGCUGCAUUCCUUUCGUUGGGUAUAACUGCUGCAAGGUGCUGCGUUCUUUUCUCUUCCUCUCUCAGAGUCUCAGAGAUCGAAGGCUUCUACUCUUCGUCUUCAAUUUGGGGUUAUGGAAGGGACAUCUGAGACUCCCAAUUCCACUCCCAUGCAUACUCUAACUAACGGUUCCAGCACUGGAACCACUCCAACACCCACACCCACUCCUACUCAGAUGGUGGAUCAAGGUCAUCAACAA